rnacentral:tmRNA from 1 species
GGGGCUGAUUCUGGAUUCGACGGGAUUUGCGAAACCCAAGGUGCAUGCCGAGGGGCGGUUGGCCUCGUAAAAAGCCGCAAAAAAUAGUCGCAAACGACGAAAACUACGCUUUAGCAGCUUAAUAACCUGCUUAGAGCCCUCUCUCCCUAGCCUCCGCUCUUAGGACGGGGAUCAAGAGAGGUCAAACCCAAAAGAGAUCGCGUGGAAGCCCUGCCUGGGGUUGAAGCGUUAAAACUUAAUCAGGCUAGUUUGUUAGUGGCGUGUCCGUCCGCAGCUGGCAAGCGAAUGUAAAGACUGACUAAGCAUGUAGUACCGAGGGCGUAGGAAUUUCGGACGCGGGUUCAACUCCCGCCAGCUCCACCA